rnacentral:rRNA from 1 species
AUUGAACGCUGGCGGCAGGCUUAACACAUGCAAGUCGAGCGGUAACAGGAAGAAGCUUGCUUCUUUGCUGACGAGCGGCGGACGGGUGAGUAAUGCCUAGGAAUCUGCCUGGUAGUGGGGGAUAACUUGCCGAAAGGUAAGCUAAUACCGCAUACGUCCUACGGGAGAAAGCAGGGGAGCCUUCGGGUCCUUGCGCUAUUAGAUGAGCCUAGGUCGGAUUAGCUAGUUGGUGGGGUAACGGCCUACCAAGGCCUCGAUAGGUAGCCGGCCUGAGAGGGUGAACGGCCACACUGGAACUGAGACACGGUCCAGACUCCUACGGGAGGCAGCAGUGGGGAAUAUUGCACAAUGGAGGAAACUCUGAUGCAACGACGCCGCGUGAAUGAUGAAGGCCUUCGGGUCGUAAAGUUCUGUCCUUGGGGAAGAAACGGACGGUACCCAAGGAGGAAGCCCCGGCUAACUACGUGCCAACAGCCGCGGUAAUACGUAUGGGGCGAGCGNUGUCCGGAAUAUUGGGCGUAAAGGGUUCGCACGCGGUCUUUUAAGUCAGAUGUGAAAUACAUAGGCUCA